GGCUCAGGAUGAACGCUGGCGGCGUGCCUAAUACAUGCAAGUCGAACGCACAGCGAAAGGUGCUUGCACCUUUCAAGUGAGUGGCGAACGGGUGAGUAACACGUGGACAACCUGCCUCAAGGCUGGGGAUAACAUUUGGAAACAGAUGCUAAUACCGAAUAAAACUUAGUGUCGCAUGACAAAAAGUUAAAAGGCGCUUCGGCGUCACCUAGAGAUGGAUCCGCGGUGCAUUAGUUAGUUGGUGGGGUAAAGGCCUACCAAGACAAUGAUGCAUAGCCGAGUUGAGAGACUGAUCGGCCACAUUGGGACUGAGACACGGCCCAAACUCCUACGGGAGGCUGCAGUAGGGAAUCUUCCACAAUGGGCGAAAGCCUGAUGGAGCAACGCCGCGUGUGUGAUGAAGGCUUUCGGGUCGUAAAGCACUGUUGUAUGGGAAGAACAGCUAGAAUAGGAAAUGAUUUUAGUUUGACGGUACCAUACCAGAAAGGGACGGCUAAAUACGUGCCAGCAGCCGCGGUAAUACGUAUGUCCCGAGCGUUAUCCGGAUUUAUUGGGCGUAAAGCGAGCGCAGACGGUUUAUUAAGUCUGAUGUGAAAGCCCGGAGCUCAACUCCGGAAUGGCAUUGGAAACUGGUUAACUUGAGUGCAGUAGAGGUAAGUGGAACUCCAUGUGUAGCGGUGGAAUGCGUAGAUAUAUGGAAGAACACCAGUGGCGAAGGCGGCUUACUGGACUGCAAC
rnacentral:rRNA from 1 species